CUGCAUUCGCCACUCUUGAAAAGUUUACUGGCCGGUUGUCGUGAGAUCUUUCCGUUCUCCGUCGACUAAUCUGCUUACCGAACUUCUUAUAUUC